CGGGAACCGUGAGACAGGUGCUGCAUGGCUGUCGUCAGCUCGUGUUGUGAAAUGUUGGGUUAAGUCCCGCAACGAGCGCAACCCUUAUCCUUUGUUGCCAGCGGUCCGGCCGGGAACUCAAAGGAGACUGCCAGUGAUAAACUGGAGGAAGGUGGGGAUGACGUCAAGUCAUCAUGGCCCUUACGACCAGGGCUACACACGUGCUACAAUGGCGCAUACAAAGAGAAGCGACCUCGCGAGAGCAAGCGGACCUCAUAAAGUGCGUCGUAGUCCGGAUUGGAGUCUGCAACUCGACUCCAUGAAGUCGGAAUCGCUAGUAAUCGUGGAUCAGAAUGCCACGGUGAAUACGUUCCCGGGCCUUGUACACACCGCCCGUCACACCAUGGGAGUGGGUUGCAAAAGAAGUAGGUAGCUUAACCUUCGGGAGGGCGCUUACCACUUUGUGAUUCAUGACUGGGGUGAAGUCGUAACAAGGUAACCGUAGGGGAACCUGCGGUUGGA
rnacentral:rRNA from 1 species